GUCCCUGUAGUCGAAUGGUUAAGACGCCACUCUCACACAGUGGAGAUUCGGAGUUCGAUUCUCCGCGGGGCCA
rnacentral:tRNA from 1 species